UUAUGAUAUUGUGGCUGGCUGGCUGCAUCACUUUUGUUUGGCAGAGGUACAAGAGAACCAGUCACAGAUAAAAGAUGCAGUUCCUAAGAGAUCCAAAGUCAGCAGCACCUAAGACUAAACUGACUUUGAAUUAUCAGCAUCCAAAACAAUGCGAAUCAAAUACAGGUUUUGUCUGUACAUCUGGCAAUCUUAGGACAAUACUGGAUGGUUUUAAUUAAGAACUGAUCCAGCAUGAAGACCAGCCAUGUGCCUCAUCUGUCAUGACAU